GAUGAACGCUGGCGGCGUGCCUAACACAUGCAAGUCGAACGAAGCUUGACGGAUGAUUUCCUCUGAAUGAUACCAGAUGUCGGUUGGUUGCGGACUGGUUAGUAACCCGUUAGCAACCUGCCUUUCAGGGGGGGAUAACGGCGGUAAACGGUCAUAAAUCCCGCAUGAUGUGUCAGGAGGGCAUCAGCUGUUCAUCGAAGCUUUAUCGCGGAAACGUGGUCUCUCGUCUGAUGAGUAAGUUGGCGGGGUAACGGCAUACCAAGUCUACGAUGAGUGGCUGACAUGAGAGGGUGAACGGGCAGAAUGGAACGGAGGCACGGUCAAGACUCGUACGGGAGGCAGCAGUGGGGAAUACUGGACAAAGGGGUGAAGAAUAAUGCAGCAAGGCGGCGUGCGUGAUGCAGGACCUCGGCGUGUAGAAUGCUGUUUUUCGGAAAGAAAACUUGUUUACUUAGAGACGAAGGUAGUGACGGUACCUAAAGAAUAAGCAUCGGCUAACUACGUG
rnacentral:rRNA from 1 species